CGCCUAAAGAUGAGCUCGCGUCCGAUUAGCUAGUAGGUAGUGUAAAUGGACUACCUAGGCGAUGAUCGGUAGCUGGUUUGAGAGGACAAUCAGCCACACUGGGACUGACACACGGCCCAGACUCCUACGGGAGGCAGCAGUGGGGAAUUUUCCGCAAUGGGCGCAAGCCUGACGGAGCAAUACCGCGUGGGGGAGGAAGGUCUGUGGAUUGUAAACCCCUUUUCUCAGGGAAGAAGCUCUGACGGUACCUGACGAAUCAGCAUCGGCUAAUUCCGUGCCAGCAGCCGCGGUAAUACCGAGGAUGCAUGCGUUAUCCGGAAUUAUUGGGCGUAAAGCGUCCGCACGCGGCUAGAUCAGUCUGCUUUCAAAGAGUGGGGCUCAUCCCCAUAAAGGGAGUGGAAACUGUUUAGCUAGAGUAUGGUAGGGGCAGAGGGAAUUCCCAGUGUAGCGGUGAAAUGCGUAGAUAUUGGGAAGAACUACCAGUGGACGAAAGCUGCU
rnacentral:rRNA from 2 species